UCUUGACCUCGGAUCAGGUAGGGA
rnacentral:rRNA from 1 species